CGGGAAAUGUGGCUCCUACCAGCACUAACUGAGCUUUGGGAUUGAAGGGGUCUUCCAAGUCAGCUGGGCCUUCCGCGAUGUUGCUCUUCUCCAAGACGUAGUAUGUAAGUUCCAGGAAGCUUUCAUCCAGCAGUGUGUCUGCCUCAUCCAACACCAAGAAGGAGAGUUGCUCCAGGCUGAUAAGUCGCCUUCUCAGGGCUUUCCACAGUGCCCCUGGAGUGGCCACUAGCACAUCGGCUGAAGGUUGUUUGGACAGUUGCAACCUGAUCCUAUGCAUGCCACGGCCUCCCUCCAGGUCCUGCACCAGCAGGCCCAAGGAGCGCCCCAAGGGUUGGGCCACGGCCCGCACCUGUUGGGCCAAUUCUCGGGAAGGCACAAGAACCAGACCUCGGGGCAUGGGGAUACGAAGAGGGUCCAGGCUUGGCCGGCCCAUGAGCCGUUGAAGUAGCGGCAGGAGGUAGCUGAGAGUCUUGCCACUGCCGGUUUCUGCGGCGCAAAGGAUGUGGCGGCCGCGAAGUAGUGGGGGGAUGGUGUUAGACUGCACGGUUGUGGGCUGAACGACUUCAGGUGCAGCCUCCCGUAGUGCGUGGAGCACACGGGGCUCCAGACCAAGGUCAGCAAAACUGUCCCCGGACGAGGGCUUCUGCACCGCUGGCGCCUUCUGUUGCGCGCGCUCGAUGGAGAAGUGGUCCCGACGCGCGCGUCGACUCUUCCAGCCUCGAGAGGCUAGCGGGGCGAUCUCCCAACGGCCCAGAGUGAGGCGAGUUGGCUGGUUGAACUCUGGCCGCCGCGCCGAGACCAGCAGCGGUCCAGGUCGCACCGGCACCGGCCCCGGGAGGCUCCGCCGUCUGCUCUGCCGCUGUUUCAACUUCCGCUGUAGAGCCACUGGGAUGCGCACUACCGGCAGAGGUUCGUCUGGACUGCGGACCGCCAGGCCCCGUCGGGGAGCUAGGAGCAACCGAGCCACUAGAGAAAACAGCCGUACCGGCCGCGGUAUAGCCAUGUUUCCCUUGGUGCGGGAGAAGCGCACAUCAAUGACGUCACGGACGCGCGGCAGCCUCGCAUACGGUGGCUGUCGAGGCUCAGUACGGUUUGCGGAGCUGGAGUCCCGUGAGGAAGAGAGGGAGGUUCUCUUAAGAGUUCAGCUGCGAGGCUAUAGCAGAGGAGGAAUGAUUGUGAAUAGCCUCUCUCUGUGCUACCAUAACAAGCUAAUUCUGGCCCCAAUGGUUCGGGUAGGGACUCUUCCAAUGCGGCUGCUUGCCCUGGAUUAUGGAGCGGACAUUGUUUAUUGUGAGGAGCUGAUCGACCUCAAGAUGAUUCAGUGCAAGAGAGUUGUCAAUGAGGUGCUCAGCACAGUGGACUUUGUUGCCCCUGAUGAUCGAGUUGUCUUCCGCACCUGUCAAAGAGAGCAGAACAGGGUUGUCUUCCAGAUGGGGACUUCAGACGCAGAGCGAGCCCUUGCUGUGGCCAGGCUUGUAGAAAAUGAUGUGGCUGGUAUUGAUGUCAACAUGGGCUGUCCGAAAGAAUAUUCCACCAAGGGAGGAAUGGGAGCUGCUUUGCUGUCAGACCCUGACAAGAUUGAGAAGAUCCUCAGCACUCUUGUUAAAGGGACACGCAGACCGGUGACCUGCAAGAUUCGCAUCCUGCCAUCGCUAGAAGAUACCCUGAGCCUUGUGAAACGGAUAGAGAGGACUGGCAUUGCUGCCAUUGCGGUUCAUGGGAGGAAGCGGGAGGAGCGACCUCAGCAUCCUGUCAGCUGUGAAGUCAUCAAAGCCAUUGCUGAUACUCUCUCCAUUCCUGUCAUAGCCAAUGGAGGAUCUCAUGACCACAUCCAACGGUAUUCGGACAUAGAGGACUUUCGACAAGCCACGGCAGCCUCUUCUGUGAUGGUGGCUCGAGCGGCCAUGUGGAACCCAUCUAUCUUUCUCAAGGAGGGUCUGCGGCCCCUGGAGGAGGUCAUGCAGAAAUACAUCAGAUAUGCGGUGCAGUAUGACAACCACUAUACCAACACUAAGUACUGCUUGUGCCAGAUGCUACGAGAACAGUUGGAGUCUCCCCAGGGAAGGUUGCUCCAUGCUGCCCAGUCUUCCCGGGAAAUUUGUGAGGCCUUUGGCCUUGGUGCCUUCUAUGAGGAGACCACACAGGAGCUGGAUGCCCAGCGGGCCAAGCUCUCAGCCAGGACUUCAGAGGAGACUGGGGAGCCAGCUGAAGAUACCUCUGGUGUCAUUAAGAUGGCUGUCAAGUUUGACCGGAGAGCAUACUCAGACCAGAUCACCCCCAAGAUGUGCCUGCUAGAGUGGUGCCGGAGGGAGAAGUUGCCACAGCCCAUGUAUGAAACGCAGCUCCCCAGCGUGUCUGCAGAAUCAAGCCAGCACCUCAGCAUAGAGCCUGAGACCCUCCCAUGUGCCUCUCUCCUUCCAGUUUCAUGCCCGCAGCCCUUUGCCCCAGCCAUGUCAUCUGGUCCCUCUGCCAGGUUCAACGCCCUGUAGACCGCCUGUUCUCUUCUAUUGUCACCGUUGCUGAACAAAAGUAUCAGUCUACCUUGUGGGACAAGUCCAAGAAACUGGCGGAGCAGGCUGCGGCCAUCGUCUGUCUGCGGAGCCAGGGCCUCCCUGAGGGUCGGCUGGGUGAGGAGAACCCUUCCUUGCACAAGCGAAAGAGGGAGGCUCCCGACCAAGACUGUGGGGGCUCCAGAGCUCAGGAGCUAGCACAACCUGGGGAGCUGUGCAAGAAGCCCUUUGUGGCCUUGGGAAGUGGUGAAGAGAGCCCCCUGGAAGGCUGGUGACUACUCUUCCUGCCCUAGUCACCCCUCCGUGAUCUGGUGCUAAGGUGGCUGUGGAUACCAUAGCAUGAACCAGAUGCUGUUGAACAAUUUGCUGGUCUUCCCUGGCAGGAGUUAGAUGUUCCAGCGGGGUCAUCAGCCUGGAGCAUGGACCAGGGGCCGCCCAAGGGUGGAUCCUGAUUCCUUUGGUGGAUCUGAGUGACAGAGUCAAGUUCCCUUUGAAAACAGGAGCUUUUCAGGUGGCACCUCCCCAACCUGACAUUGGUACUGUGCAAUAAAGACACCCCCUACCCUCACCCAUGGCUGGCUGCUUUAGCCUUGGGCAUCUUCAUAAA